UACAGAGGUCUCAAGCGUUGUUCGGAUUCAUUGGGCGUAAAGGGUGCGUAGGCGGCGCGGUAAGUCGGGUGUGAAAUCUCGGAGCUUAACUCCGAAACUGCAUUCGAUACUGCCGUGCUUGAGGACUGGAGAGGAGACUGGAAUUUACGGUGUAGCGGUGAAAUGCGUAGAUAUCAGGAGGAACACCGAUGGCGAAGGCAGCCCCCUGGGCCAAUACUGACGCUCAGGCACGAAAGCGUGGGGAGCAAACAGG
rnacentral:rRNA from 1 species